AGUCUCCAGGCUCCACCCCUUUCCCCUCCCGCCAGGAUGUUUCUUACGGCCAACAUGGCCGCCCCCUGUGUGUCCUGCGGCCGAGUGCUUUCCCUUUGGUUCACUCCCGCUGUUAGAGCUAGCCUCUGCCAGAGGCCCGGGUACUGGACAGCCUCGGCGGUUGGCUGGCAGACAGGGACCAGGUUCCAGCUAUCAAAGCUAAUACAUACCACAGUUGUAACAACAAAGAAAAAUGUCCAAGCCUCAAGACAGGAAUCAUAUACAGAAGAUUUUAUUAAAAAGCAGAUUGAAGAAUUCAAUAUAGGGAAGAGGCACUUAGCCAACAUGAUGGGAGAAGACCCGGAAACUUUUGCUGAAGAGGAUAUUGAUAGAGCUAUUGCUUACCUUUUUCCAAGUGGUUUGUUUGAGAAGCGAGCCAGGCCAAUGAUGAAGCAUCCUGAACAUAUUUUUCCAAAACAAAGAGCAACCCAGUGGGGAGAAGAUGGCCGUCCAUUUCAUUUUCUCUUCUAUACUGGCAAACAAUCGUACUAUUCAUUAAUGCACGACGUGUAUGGAAAGGUCAUGCAGCUGGAAAAGCACAGAGGGCCACUGUCGGCAAGCGCUGAGUCCAGAGACCUGAUUGGCAGCAGAUGGCUGAUUAAGGAGGAACUAGAAGAAAUGUUAGUGGAAAAACUGUCAGAUGAAGAUGGUCAGAGAAGAAAUGGUGAGAGUGUCUGAGUCCAGGGACACAGCUGGGGAGGAAGAGGAAACGGGCUAGCAGUGUGGCCAUGGGUACCGAGCCAGCAUGGUCACAGGUGUGUAGGUUCUCUGCCCUGACUUAGAAUCCGCAUGUCUUCCCUCUUAUUCUUGCUUCCCAGGAAGAUGUAUGUAUUUGAACAGUUGUUUUAAUACUGCUUAGACUGUUGAGAGUCUCAGAUAUUUCGAAUUAAUCAUUAAUGGUUUUUCAAUGGAAAGGCAAGUGUGGCAAAGUUGGGUAUGACUUUUAGGGUUGGCAAGGAACAAAUAAGUCAUCAAAAACUGGGCUCCCCAAUCCAUCUUAACUCAAGCUCUUAAGUGUAGUUGUUUCCUUCUCCACAGACACUCUAGAAUGAUUAUUCUGGCUUCUAAUUUUAAGGGGUUAAUACCAAGUUGUUUACUUUCUAAUCACAUGUUCAAGAACUAUUAAAAAAAAUGCACAGAGUAGCAAGGAUAAUUUAUUUCAAGAGGUUGCCCUUUAAGUCAAGUAUCUCUUGAAUUUUUAAAUAGCUUGAUUGUUCGGUUUUAAAGGAAAUCAUAAACAUUAAAGUAACACAGCUUGAACAGCCAAAAAUAUAUUUGCCAAAUGUAUUAUGAAAUAUAACUUAAGGGGAACAUUUUCUCAAAAUCAGACUCUUCUGCUAUUUAUAACUGACUAGAAAUUAUUUCUAAUGUUCCUUUUGAUGCAGUUCUAUUGACAGACUAGAAGUUAUACUUUUGAAGAUCAUCUAAAUAUUUUUAAAAUAAAUUUAAAUAUCAAUUUCAUGAUCAUAAUGCAGAGAAAUUGAUUUUUUGAGUGAUAAAUCCCUUUGUUUUUUUUGAGAGGAAAGCUUGAGUACGAACGAUGCACGAGAAAGGGAUGCAUCUGCUGCUGUUGGAAAAGCAGCAUGAAGAUGCACAAGUGUCAUCCUGUCAAAAUUCAUCAAGAAAAGCAGCAUUGGAAAGAUCAAGUAUAUAUAAAUAGCAAAACUUUAGCAAAUGCAAUUACACUUGCUUCUUCUAAUGAAGUCUAUUGUCUGCAGUAUGCACAGUUCAUCCGACUGCUCGAGAAGCUAUUGACAUUGCCGUGCGGGCCUGCAGAAGAAGAAUUUGUGCAGAGGUUCCGCAGAAGUGUAACUAUUCAAUCAAAAAAGCAACUGAUUGAACCCGUGCAGUAUGACGAGCAGGGCAUGGCCUUCAGCACCAGCGAAGGCCGGAGGAAGAGCGCCACGGCACAGGCGGUCGUUUAUGAGCACGGAAGCGGGAAGAUCCACGUGAACGGAGUUGAUUAUCUAAUUUACUUUCCCAUCACACAGGACAGAGAACAGUUGAUGUUCCCUUUCCACUUCCUGGACCGGCUGGAGAGA